rfam:Schistosoma curassoni strain Dakar, Senegal genome assembly, scaffold: SCTD_scaffold0007109
AUCCAGCUGACGAGUCUCAAAUAGGACGAAACGAGCUUCCUGGGU